GAUCAUGGCUCAGGAUGAACGCUAGCUACAGGCUUAACACAUGCAAGUCGAGGGGCAGCAUUGGAGUAGCAAUACUUCAGAUGGCGACCGGCGCACGGUGAGUAACACGUAUCCAACCUGCCGCUUACUCGGGGAUAGCCUUUCGAAAGAAAGAUUAAUACCCGAUGGUAUAAAGAGUUCGCAUGUUCUCUUUAUUAAAGAAUUUCGGUAAGCGAUGGGGAUGCGUUCCAUUAGAUAGUUGGCGGGGUAACGGCCCACCAAGUCUACGAUGGAUAGGGGUUCUGAGAGGAAGGCCCCCACAUUGGAACUGAGACACGGUCCAAACUCCUACGGGAGGCAGCAGUGAGGAAUAUUGGUCAAUGGACGAGAGUCUGAACCAGCCAAAGUAGCGUGAAGGAUGACUGCCCUAUGGGUUGUAAACUUCUUUUAUAAGGGAAUAAAGUGAGGGACGUGUCCCUUUUUGUAUGUACCUUAUGAAUAAGGAUCGGCUAACUCCGUGCCAGCCGCGGC
rnacentral:rRNA from 1 species